AAAACGUCAGCGACAGUAGCGCCAUCUGUAUUAGGCAUCCAUUCGUAAUUCCUCCGUAUUUUGGCGAAAUUAUUGUUGUAAAACUAUUAAAACAUUAUUUAAUUUCUAAUUUUUAUAACAAUGAAAUCGAGACAACAGUACCUCUUAAUUUGGACACGAUAUGUUAAGAUUCAAAUUCUUCCUACAUGAAACUAAAGAUAAUUUCAAAAAUUUAUAAUAAAAAAGAGUAACAUCGAGGGAUUGUCAUUCAGGUAUAUUUCUUAUAUGUGGUUUCUUUUAUUUGUUUAUUUACUGUAAAUAAUUUUACAUACAUAAACAUGUACAUAAUUUUAUACACAAUUUCAUUUAUCAUCAUCACUAAUUUCUUUAUUAUAUAUUUUUUUUGGCCAAAUAUAUUCUAGAUAAUCACUAAAUAAUACUUAAUUUGUUUAAACUAAAGGAUAAUCUUUUAAAUUAUGAAUUCAUAAAGUUUAUUUAAUAGUAUUCAAUAAUAUUGUUAAGUAAACAUUAUUAUAGUUUUUGAUUGGUCUUUAGGUAUAUUAAUUUAAUUUGAGCAUAUUUUUACUAAUAUUUAUUACAAUACAAUGUAUCAGAAUCAGUUUUUCUCCAAAACAUUCUCAUUUAUCAAAAGAUUAUUAAAAUUAAAGUCAUACACAAGUUAUUUCAUUAAAAAUUAGCUUAUUUGUCUAAAUAGUUUGGGAUAUUAGAUAGCUGUGCAACAAUUCAAGAUGGUAUAAUAAACAUUAUCAUAGUCAUUUUUAUUCCAAGUAUAUUAAUUUAAUUUAUACAUAAUUUAACACAUAUGAUUUUUAAAAUUAUUCAGUUUUUAUAGAAAUAUCUUGAGUAUCAGUAUUAUUUAAUCUUUUAAAUUAUGCAGUUUCUUCUUUCUCUAACAGUUACGUACAAAACUCUUGCCAAAUAUUGAUAUAAGAGUUUUUCUUGUAUAACAUUCUCAUUAGCAUGACAUCAAAUAUAUAACCAUUUUUAACAAAUCUAAUUUAAGAGUAGUUUAAAUCAGUUAACAGUCAAAUAGAACUUACCUCGAGUAAUUGGAUGUCAAUGACUGGUCUAUUUGGAAGCAUCUUUAAAUGUCGAAGACCAACUGCACCACAAGACUUUGGGCCAAGUAGAAGAUGAUGGAUUUGGUUGCUGGUGGUAAGGACUAACGAAGUCGUCGUCCUCCGUGCCUUGUCAGUCUGGGCUGUAGUAUUCGAAGAGCUGUAAAAUUUGAUCACAUCAAUAUAAAAAUUUGAUAACAAUGUAGAUAAUUUAGCAGUUUUUAAAACUAUAUUUAAUAAGACGAUUUAUUUGGUUGAACUUACCUCUUAGGAUAAGCGUUAUUGUUAACACUGUUGGGAUAAACCGGCACGAAUUACGAAUUUCUUCGUGAAAUGCUUUUCACUUACCUUGUAAGAUGAAUCAAAUAAUAUUUGUAAAACCUUUUGAAGAACUGUUGUAAAAAGACUGGAAUGAUUAUGAAGCAAAGCUCUCGAGUCGUUGCUAAGAGGGAACAUUCGAAGAACGGAAAUGUCGUAGUCGGCGCGAAGCUGCCUAUUUCAACCACAGAACACUUCUUUCCAGAGUUCUAAGUAGAAUCCGGUACCAUUUUGAAUUUUGGCGGCAAAACUAAUAUUAAUUUUUAUAUUAAUGGAAAAUUGAAAAAUGAGAAAAGUUAUUAAUAAACAUUAAAAAUAACAGAAAAUUUGGCAAGUGGAUUAGAAUAAUCGAAGUGAUUUAAUUAAUUAGAUGGUAAACCUCAGUGCGCAUGCGCAGUCUUACAAACAAGCAGGAGUUGUAACUGGAUAAAUUUUGACCUGCUGUGAUUUAGUAUAGAAAAUAUUUUUGAAUUGGGUAAUCUUGCAGUUUAUUAUAAUUGUGUAUUGUUGGUUGCAUAUUUACUGCUGAUAUUUUUAAAUAUAUAUAAAGAUUGUCUAUGGUUGUUUUAUGGCUAUUACAGUUUAAAUAAAUAACAUAAAAUUAA